rnacentral:tRNA from 1 species
GGGGAAUUAGCUCAAGUGGUAGAGCGCUCGCUUAGCAUGUGAGAGGUAACGGGAUCGAUUCCCGUAUUCUCCA